rnacentral:lncRNA from 1 species
AAAACAAAGGUGCCCUUGCCAAUAUUUUCCUUUAUUUUGACAAACACUAAAAUUUCUGAGGGAAAUCUGCUGUCAAUGGAAUCAGGACGUUCAUGUAUGCAGUGUGCAAAUACAACUUAAAGAUACAACUGC